GUGAAAAGGAUGGACUGCGCUCUGGGAGCAGUAAAUAAGGGAUCUGUAGGACCCCUGUCUCAUUAAUUGUGAAAGUUGGAAAGUGUGGAAAAUGAGGCAGGGGUCCAGUAGGAAGAGAAAAGAUAGAGAAGGAGGAAAAACAGUUUAAAGCAUCGGACAUGUAAAGUGUUAGUGGUCGUAUGCUUGCUUGGCAGAAGAAUGUUUUGACCAUCAAGUUUAAAGCAUCUAAUGGCCACUUUGGAUAAAGGACUCAUUCAGUAUCCCAGCACCUUCAGUUAAAGUGAGAUCUCACAAUACACCGAAGCUGUCCGGCAGCAAAGUCUGGAAAGACUAGACUUGAUAUGUCCAAGAACUCCCUGAAGUUGCCCCAGAAUCCAGGGACUUAGAUCCAGCUUGCUGCAGUGUACACCACGGGUUCUUUUGUUUACUUACAUGCAAAAUUCAGUGCCAGGGAUGGGUGCUUUUCUAGAGAUGGACCAGCUGCCUGAACAACAUGCUUCAUUGUGGUGCAUGUAGAAGUAAAACUGCCAGGGACUUCUGUGGAAGCAGAGUUAAGCCUGCCCUUUGGGAGAGCGCUACAAUCAAGGCUGGCUUUAUGAAGGGCAGGGCCCGAUUCGAAUACCCAGCAGCAGAGGGUCAAGUCCUGGUCUUCCGCAGCACCGAAGAACCCCCUGCCGCCGGCUUCCCUGGUGCUUCAGCAGUCGGCAAUGAAGAAUGGAAGAUAAACAACUUUCCAGCACAUUCUGCUGCCUGUCACAAAGACACCGUAACAACCUUUUAUUCUGCUGCUGCUCCAGAUUGCCAACCCUGCCGACUCAUGUCCUCAAUUCCAGAACAGCAGCUGCAGCAACAGUACAAGUAUCCCAACCCUGCUCUAAUUUAAUUGACAUUUCUAUCCAGAAGUAAUAAAUCCACAUUUAUUUAAUCCUUCAUCUUUCUACUGAGACUGCCCACUGGAGUGGAAACCAAAAUGAUAAUGGCCCUUUUUGUGAUUUGUUUAGAUAUUAAAGUUCCUGAUUAAAAAUAGAAAUAAAAAAAAGACACGUAUGUGUGUAACUACACACCUAAAUUAUACUUGCAAUUGCGGUGACUACGUACUACAUAUGCACAUUACAAAAAACAAACCAACAACUGCAUUCUGAGUGGAUAGUUUCCAUGUAAACUUUUAAAUUCCUGGGGUGAAAACCUGGCUAAACUGAAGUCAAUGGCAAAACUCCCAAUGGGGCUGGGAUUUCACUCCUUAGACAUGUGGGUUUUUUUUUAAAGUGUAUGUCAAUUUUCUCAAUUUAUUUUAGAACAAACAUCUUUUAUUAAAGCUUAAAGGGAACAUCUUAUCAGCACAUACAUACUUAUCACAUUAUUAAAAAUCGGAAAGUCCUUUUACUUUAGAGUUGCUCUUGGUUAAAGCUGCUCUGAACUGAAAAUAUGCUUGACAGUUUUAAAAUAUAUAUAAACUGGGCCAAAAUUUAUCUCCACCAGUAUGAAUUUAAUCUAUUUUUUCCUUUUUAGACUGGAAUGGUUCUCUUGUUAAUAUACAUAUGGAAUGUUUGCUAUUCACAUUAAAAGCCUUACGAAUAAGUUACUAUUCGUAACUCAUCUUUACAGAUUAAUGUCAGGGCCAUUCCCUCUUUUUGCAAACAUCAGAGGAAAUUACAACUUGUAUAGUUCUGACUGGCAAUUUCACUUUUUUAAAAGUAAAUACCAUUAGUAAAAGGACCCGACAGAAGAACAGAUUAAAUGAAUACAUCUUCUGUCCACACGUACAUUGUGAUACUGUAAAAUAGUUCAUGAGAAGAGCUCUUAAAUUAAUAGCUCAAAAAAGCCUAGGAAACAACCUCCUUUUUAGUGCAAUGAGAUUACCAUCUUGUGGGUUUGUGCUUUAUUUGUAGAAAGUUCACAGAUUAACUGAUUGUAUUUUAAACCACAAGUUGUUGCUUUCUGUCCCUGCAAAAGCUACAGUGCAGCCUGGUGGCAUUCUUUUAAUUGCCAGUGUUAGCACUUACCAGGCACAUGGGAAAACACUGGAGAUGCACUGAAUCCAGAGUAUUUCACCUUCAGAUGCAGUCAAGCUACUAAAACUUGUUGAUUAAGAAGAAAAUCCAGCCCUCUCCUGCAAAGCCGUGGCAGUGCCCCGUUCAGUGGAACUAGUGCAGUUCUGUACACACACAAGGUAUGCUUGGGGCUGGGGCCUGGGUAGGGCUGAGGGGCCCACCACUGCAUUGACUCUUCUCAUUCUCCCUGUGUACACAAGGGUAAGGGGGCUGUGUAAGUGCCCAGAGUACAUUACUUAAGAUACCGAGCUGAAGUAACCUCCAUAGCUGCUUCACAACCUGAUCCCCUCCUCUCCCAAGUGUCCAGUCUAUGUAGACUGGGCACUACGGUCUACAUUUGCCUCUCAGUGAAAAAAAAUCAGAAAAUAGAUAUUAAAAUGGAAACACGGACACAAACUUCAGUAUAGUGCAGGGGUUGGCAACCUCUGGCACGCGGCUCGCCAGGGCAAGCACCCUGGCAGGCUGGGCCAAUUUGUUUACCUGCCGCGCCCACAGAUUCGGCCGAUUGCGGCUCCCACUGGCCGCGGUUUGCUGCUCCAGGCCAUUGGCCAUUUGGUUCUUACUGGACUCAAUUAAAUGCCUGGUACAUGAGAACCAGGGGUGGGCAAUGUAGUGCCCGUCCCCAAGGUAUAAUUAAUAAAGCUGUGCUGAAACCCAUCCCAGGUGUCUGUCAAUUAUUCACCUGCUUGCCCUUGUCAAUAAUGGAAUCUAAGUUCUGGAAACUAUCUGGUUUCUUUUGAUUUCCCACUGCAAUUUGUGCGAGAACUUGGCAAAGUCAUUAGCAGAGUGAAUUUUUGUAGCUUAUCCUAAUAAAGACUUUGUUCUCACACACAGAGGAACAUUCUAACCUUUAGUGCUUCCAUGCCAGCCUGGAUAACAGGAGCAAAGACAGUCUCACUCUCAUUAGUGUCUGCAAACAUCUCUGGAAUCUGGUCCAACAAGCUAUGAAAGAGAAAAAGGAUCAGUGUUUCAGCUGGUUAGAAUACUUGUGUUAAUACCUAAACAUCUGUAACAUAUCAAGCCUUUUUACACAAUAACUUGCUUUCCAUUAAAAUAAAAUUCAAAGAAAUUUUAAAAAGAACAAGACACUAUAAAACUGUCUGGAUUUUAAAUUUUACAAAAUGUACACUUUUAAAUGUAAUUAUAAAGUAAUGUCAAGUCACACAUGAUACUGAAAUAAAAAAAGCAGAGUAGCUUAAAUUUGGGGAGUAACUACUAGGAGGACUUCAGGAAUAUAAGAUCAUGGUUAGCUUGUAGCAUGCAUAUCAGUGGAGUGAAAUACAUGCAGUAUACUACACAAUGCUCCAACCCCUUUUCCAAUGUUCUAUAAGCAACGUCCAAUACAUUGUGUUCUCUCUCACACAUGGGGUAAAUUUUGCCUUCUCUCUCAGUUUUGAAAAGGCCAGCUGAAAGCUCUUUUCUGUGUUUCAGAACUAGAAAAUUAGGGUACAAGCUUUCUAAAUGCUUGCUUGUCUCUAAGACUUUCAGAUAAAAACAAAUACAGAAUAAUCCAGUUUAUUUCAAGGUAGUGAUCUCUCUAGUGAUUUCUGGCUGACUUUUUGGAGGGAUCAUUAUUUGCUGUAAGCCAUAAUGAAGAAUAUUCAUAUUCAAAUAUGAAACAUUAUUUCUUUACUUGUUCACAACAGAUCGUGAUUCCUGAAAGUUGACAAGGAAACCAUCCAGCAAAGGAACAAAGACUUCUCCAACAUCCGAUACUACCAUCAUCUGAGGCUGAGCUAGGUUGCUCUUUACAUUAAAGAAAUGAAGAACUUUGUUAUAGGUGACAAAGCCAACUCGAAUAGCUGAGGUCUCUUCUUGCUCUUCUCUGUGAGAAAAAUAUAAAAUGGAACAACUGGAAAUAAUUUUGAAACAUUUACUUUGCAUUAAUAAGAGUUCUUUGAAAUGCCAGGGUGCUGGCAGAUAACAUCUGUGUGGUAGAACAAACAACAUCAAGAUGAAAUGUCCCAAUCUUAGUGCUAGUUAAUAUA